AACUCAGAAAUGACAUAGGUCCCCAUUUAUGUGUGAAGGUGGCAAAAGCCACUGGAAAGGGACGAGAAUCCAUAGGUGUACUAACUGAAGGCCACCUGGUCAGAUCUGUCAUUCUCUACCCCCAAAGGCUAUGACAUUGAGAAAGGAGCAACUGAGUCUUAUUCACUGAGUCCCCAGUGCCCAUCAAGGGACAUGGUACAUGGCAGAUGCCCAACAACUAUUUCUUGGAUGGACGGGGAAAUGUUUCCUAAUCACAACAGAAGAGAAGCAAGCAGCCAUUGUACCACUAACACAAAGCAAGCAACUCUGCUUCGACUUCUCCCACUUUUGGGAAAAGUCCACUUUUCAAGAAGGAGACUGGAAACAGGAAGUGGCCCAGGCUUGCCCUCGUCACCGCCAGUGACACCAACCAGGCGCUCAGUGCAGCAUCCAGCUUCCAGCCUCAGGAUGGCCCCGAGACAGAGGCUGGCUGCUCCGAUUUCAACCAGAGCCAUUUCUGAGGCUGGAAUGAUCAACUGGAAUAGUGAAAAAUGCAGUGCUGUUGGAAGCCAAGUUUUAAGGAGAAUUUUUGUUAUUGUUUGUUUCAACAGACAAACUUAUAUACAUGUAUCAUGUGGGCAAGGAGAUGGGAGGAAUGAAGCUAGGCAAAUUCAUUACCUUUUAAAAAGAAAUCUAGUUCUUCUUGAGGGACUCUCCCUUCUGCUUGUUCUAUCUUGAUGGUCAUAUUAAAAGAAAAGAGUAGCUUGUGCCUCUCAAACAGCCCUGGAGGGAAACAUCAGAUGAGUAUUGAUUUCUUAAAAUUCAUUUUUAAAAAACUGAGUUUCUUAUGCACACUGUGCUUAAACGUAAGAUAAAUGAAACACUCGAACUGUAUGGCUGCAUUUACCCCUCUUUGCACCUAAUGUCCAUGAAUAUCUAAGUUCAAGAGAGAUGAGCUCAGUUCCUAGGUCAUGCCCCAGUCUGUAGUGACAUGCUCCUGUAUGUAACGGAAAUGGCCAUGUCUACAGGAGGUAAAAUCACACCAACCUGGGAAGAGGAAAAGCCAGUGAGGGGCAGUACAGCAGGGGCAGCCCUCUCCACUGAAGGCAGGUUGUUUGCCUGACUCCAUGGCAUUUGUGUCCAUUAGAGUCUAGAAGAGGUGUUGGCAAACUUUCUACAAAGGGCCAGAUAGUAAAUAUUUUUGGCUUUGGAAGCUAGAUGGUCUCUGUCAUAACCACUCAACUCCGCCAUUGUAGUGCAAAAGCAACCAUAGACAAUAUGUAUACAAAUGGAUAUGGCCCUGUUCCAAUAAAACUUUAUUUACAAAAGCAGGCAGUGGGCCAGAUUUGGAUGCUGGCUAGGGGGUUGCCAACCUCUAUUGCAGAGGACACACACUCCAUCAACAGACUCUUUAUUAAUGGAUGCAAAAUACCAGCGUUCUUCUUUUUUGCUUUUUAACAGAAGACAUGUGUUCCUGGAAAAAAAAAUUGUUUAAGUCAAAAUUUGUAAUUUGAAUUCUACUUUAUAUGUGUUAGGAGGGUUGGCUACUUAAGUGAGCCCUAUAGAAACAAUCUCUUUUCUGCCCAACUGUUAAGGGCUAAAUUAUAUUUCUCCAAACUUCCUAUGUUGAAGCCCCAACUUCCAGUACCUGAGAAUAUGACAGUAUUUGGAGACAGGGUCUUUAAAUAGGUGAUUAAGUUCAAAUGAGGCCAUUAAGGUGGGCCCAGUCCAACCUCACUGGUGUCCUUAUAAGAGGAGGAAAUUUGGACACACAGAGACACCAGGGAUUCACACGCAGAGAAGAAAGACCUUGUGUGGACAGAGCAGGAAGACAGCCUCCUACAAGCCAAGGGGAGCAUCCUAAGGAGAAACGAAACCUACCAAAACCUUGAUUUUGGACUUCUGACCUCCAAAACUAUGAGAAAAUAAAUUUCUGUUGCUUAAGCCACCCAGUCGGUGGUAUUUUGUUAUGGCAGGCAUGGCAAACUAAUACACCAAACGCUGGUGCAUGGAAAAUAUCACUGUCAGUACAGUGUCUCAGCAGAAGAGGACUGGAAAGGGACACGAGUGUGUCCUACCCACCCUCUGCUUCCUAAAGGUCACUCUACAGGCCCCUGGUUAAAAAUGGCCAUUCUGAGUUUAUCCCAACUCCUUUUCAAAAACCAACUGAAAUGGUGAGUUUUUUUGUUUGUUUGUUGUUUUUGUGCAGUGGCGCGAUCUCGGCUCACUGCAACCUCCGCCUCCCGGGUUCAAGCCAUUCUCCUGCCUCAGCCUCCCCCCCAGUAGCUGGGACUACAGGUGCCUGCCAACACGCCCAGCUAAUUUUUGUAUUUUUAGUAGAGACGGGGUUUCACCAGGUUGGCCAGGAUGGUCUCCAUCUCUUGACCUCAUGAUCCGCCCGCCCUGGCGGCCCAAAGUGCUGGGAUUACAGGAGUGAGCCACCGCGCCUGGCCUAAUGGUUAGUUUUUUAAAAAGGUAUAAGCUCCCAGAAAAUUGGAGAAAAGACAAUAGCAAUAAAAUUUUGCAAGCUAGGCCAGGUGUGGUGGCUCACAUCUGUAAUCCUAGCACUUUGGGAGGCCGGGGUGGGCAGAUCACUUGAGAUCAAGAGUUCGAGACCAGCCUGGCCAACAUGGCAAAACCCUGUCUCUACUAAAAAUACUAAAAAUUAGCUGAGUGUGGUGGUAGGUGCCUGUAAUCCCAGCUACUUGGGAGGCUGAGGCAGGAGAAUCACUUGAACCCAGGAGGCGAAGGUUGCAGUGAGCUAAGAUCGCACCACUGCACUCCAGCCUGGGCAACAGAGUGACAUUCUGUCUCAAAAAAAAAAAAAAAAAAAAAAAAAAAAACUGCAAGCUACAGACAGAUGGACAAGUGAUAACUGAUUUAGCAGAGCUGAGAAAGUUGACUCUCACAUGAGGAGGAGAUAAAGCUGAGAUGCAAACCACAGAACACAUCAAAAGCUCAGGAACUGGCAGUACCAGAUCCUUUGGAAGUGUGGGUGAAUAUGGGCUAAAAACAGGAAGAUGGGUGGACAGCUUGUUUGACAAGCCGUCAGAUCCCAGAUCCCCUCUCACUCCAUGCUGCCAGGCAACUGCCUGCCCCACCCAAGUGAACUUUGGAAAAGAUAAAGCAGGGUCUCUGGACGGGGGAACACCAGGCAUAGUUGAGGGUAAACCGUACUGAAAAUAUGGCUUUCAGUGAACGUUUUCACGACGAAUGCUGAAAUCGACAGCCUUCUUUUCUCACUUGGUUCCACGAAGGCUGGCAGCCAGGAUUACAUACUCUAGGAAAAGGCUGAAGACUCUUCACUGGGGAAUCCUAAAGUCUCAUGAGAAAAGAACUACAUGUAUUGGCAUUUGAGAGUUCCUCCAAUGACACACUACAGAGAGGCGAGCACAAAAUUCAGACGACGGGAAACAACCCAGCAAUCAGGUAGGUUUCUUCCACAGAUAAAUGCAAGGGGUGGGGCAGACACGGUGGCUUAUGCUUCUAAUCCCAGCACUUUGGGAGGCCGAGGCAGGAGGAUCCCUUAAGCCCAGGAGUUCAAGAUCAGCCUGGGCAACAUGGCGAGACCACCAUCUCUACAAAUUUUUUUUAAAAAUUAGCCAGGCAUGGUGGCAUGCACCUGUAGUCCCAGCUACUGAGGAGGCUGAAGUGAGAGGAUCACUUGAGCCUGGGAGGUGGAGGUUGCAGUAAGCUGUGAUUGUGCCAUUGCACCCUAGCCUGGGCAUCAGAGCCAGACCCUGUCUCCAAAAAUAAACAAACAAAAAUAAAAAUAAAUGCAAGGGGGAAAAGAGAGAAAUUAAGUGACACAACCAAUUAUAAUGUAUAGACCUUAAUGAGGUCCUGAUUUAAAAUAAUGUGAAACAUGACAUAUAAGACAAUUGGGAACAUUUGAAAACCUGAAUAUGAUGAUAUUCAGGAAUUAUUAAUUUGGGGAUAUGAUAAUGGCCUUAUGUCUAUGUUUUGAGAUAGAAUCCUUCUAUUUUAUAGCAGGGAUGGGCAAACCACAAGCAAGGGGCCAAAUCCAGCCUGCUGCCUGUUUUUGCUAAAAAAGUUUUAUUGGAACACAGCCAUGGCCAUUCACUUCCAUAUCAUCCAAUGGCUGCUUUUGUGCUACAAUUGCCACCAUGCCCAGUGGGGCCUGUGGCACACAACUGCAGAAGUGAGUAGUUGUGGCAGAAAUCACUUAGCCUUCAAAGCCUAAAACACUUACUAUCUGACCCUUUCCAGAAAAAGUUUGCUGACCUCUGUUUUAGAGAUACAAACUAACAUACUUACAGAUAAGUGAUCUGAAUAUGAAGCAAAUUUUCAACAUAAUCUGGGUUGAUGGGGAACCGUGUUACAUAUAAACAAAUCCAGAGCUAAUCAUUGCCAGGUGAGGGCUGUGCAGACGAUCACGACACUAUUCUCUUUUGCAUAUGUUUUCCAUAAUAAAAAGUCUUUUGAAAAAAUCAAUGAUUUAGGGGUUUAAAUAUACUGUAGUCACUUUGGAAAACAGUUUGGCAGUUCCUCAAAAGUUAGACAUAGAAUUACCCUAUGACCCAGCAGUUCCCUUUCUAGAUAUACCCCCAAGAGAAUUAAAAACACACAUUCACACAAAAACCUGCACACAAAUGUUCACAGGAGCAUUGCCUUAAUAGCAAAACAAGCGAAACAACCCAAAUGCCCAUCAGGUGACGGGUGGAUAAACACAGUGCGGUCUGUCCAUACAUGGAAUGUGACUCAGCCACAGGCAGGAAUGAAGCGCUGACACACGCAGCAACACGGAUGAACCGUGAGGUCACGGAGUGGAGUGAAAGAUACCAGUCAUGAAGUCACACACCGUAUGAUGCCAUUGACAUGAAGUGUUCAGAGCAAGUAAAUCCUUACAGAUGGAAGGCAGAGCGGUGACUGCCAGGGACUAGGAGUGGGGGGCCAGGGGGUGACUGCUAAUGGGUAUGGGAUUUCAUUUCGGGGCUGGUGGAAACGUUCCGGAGCCAGAGAGUAGUGAUAGCUGCACAACUCUAUGUAUAUGCUAUGAAUCACCACCGAAUGGUAUAUUUUUAAAGGACGAAUUUAUGGUAUGUAAAUUGUGUCUCAAUAAAGCUGCUAUCUUAAAAUUCA